rnacentral:rRNA from 1 species
AGCCUGAUGCAGCAACGCCGCGUGAGGGAUGACGGCCUUCGGGUUGUAAACCUCUUUUAGCAGGGAAGAAGCGAGAGUGACGGUACCUGCAGAAAAAGCACCGGCUAACUACGUGCCAGCAGCCGCGGUAAUACGUAGGGUGCAAGCGUUAUCCGGAAUUAUUGGGCGUAAAGAGCUCGUAGGCGGUCUGUCGCGUCUGCUGUGAAAUUCCGAGGCUCAACCUCGGGCUUGCAGUGGGUACGGGCAGACUAGAGUGCGGUAGGGGAGAUUGGAAUUCCUGGUGUAGCGGUGGAAUGCGCAGAUAUCAGGAGGAACACCGAUGGCGAAGGCAGAUCUCUGGGCCGUAACUGACGCUGAGGAGCGAAAGGGUGGGGAGCAAACAGGCUUAGAUACCCUGGUAGUCCACCCCGUAAACGUUGGGAACUAGUUGUGGGGUCCUUUCCACGGAUUCCGUGACGCAGCUAACGCAUUAAGUUCCCCGCCUGGG